rnacentral:rRNA from 2 species
ACGGGGUGCAGCAGGCGCGAAAACUUUGCAAUGUGCGAAAGCACGACAAGGUUAAUCCGAGUGAUUUCUGCUAAAGGAAUCUUUUGCUAGUUCUAAAAAUACUAGUGAAUAAGGGGUGGGCAAGUUCUGGUGUCAGCCGCCGCGGUAAAACCAGCACCUCAAGUGGUCAGGAGGAUUAUUGGGCCUAAAGCAUCCGUAGCCUGCUCUAUAAGUUUUCGGUUAAAUCUAUACGCUCAACGUCUAGGCUGCCGAAAAUACUGUAGUGCUAGGAAGUGGGAGAGGUAGACGGUACUUGGUAGGAAGGGGUAAAAUCCUUUGAUCUAUCGAUGACCACCUGUGGCGAAGGCGGUCUACCAGAACACGUUCGACGGUGAGGGAUGAAAGCUGGGGGAGCAAACCGGAUUAGAUACCCGGGUAGUCCCAGCUGUAAACGAUGCAGACUCGAUGAUGCAUUGGCAUGUAGCCAGUGCAGUGUCGCAGGGAAGCCGUUAAGUCUGCCGCCUGGGAAGUACGUACGCAAGUAGAAACAUAAA